AGAGUUUGAUCAUGGCUCAGAUUGAACGCUGGCGGCAGGCCUAACACAUGCAAGUCGAGCGGUAACAUUUCUAGCUUGCUAGAAGAUGACGAGCGGCGGACGGGUGAGUAAAGCGUAGGGAGCUGCCCGAUAGUGGGGGAUAACCAUUGGAAACGAUGGCUAAUACCGCAUGAUGUCUACGGACCAAAGAGGGGGACCUUCGGGCCUCUUGCUAUCGGAUGCGCCUACGUGGGAUUAGCUAGUUGGUGAGGUAACGGCUCACCAAGGCGACGAUCCCUAGCUGGUUUGAGAGGAUGAUCAGCCACACUGGGACUGAGACACGGCCCAGACUCCUACGGGAGGCAGCAGUGGGGAAUAUUGGACAAUGGGGGCAACCCUGAUCCAGCCAUGCCGCGUGUGUGAAGAAGGCCUUCGGGUUGUAAAGCACUUUCAGCGAGGAGGAAAGGUGGGUAGUUAAUAACUGCCUGCUGUGACGUUACUCGCAGAAGAAGCACCGGCUAACUCCGUGCCAGCAGCCGCGGUAAUACGGAGGGUGCGAGCGUUAAUCGGAAUUACUGGGCGUAAAGGGCACGCAGGCGGCCUGUUAAGUUAGAUGUGAAAGCCCCGGGCUUAACCUGGGAAUGGCAUUUAAGACUGGCAGGCUAGAGUCUUGGAGAGGGGGGUGGAAUUUCCGGUGUAGCGGUGAAAUGCGUAGAGAUCG
rnacentral:rRNA from 1 species